AGAGAGCUCUCUUCAGUCCACUCAUAGGUAGUAGUCAGAUUCAAUUUGCUGCCGACUCAUUCAUCCAUGUACCCAAGUUAGUAAGAUGGUCAUAUAUUACUUGGUAAAUGAAUGAAUGAUCCGGGAGAUUAAUUGGAUCUUAUGCUUCUUGUACUUGGACUGAAGGGAGCUCCCUAC
rnacentral:pre_miRNA from 1 species